CGGGCUGUAGUAUAGCGGUAGUAUACAUGCUUUGGGAGCAUGAAGUCAGGGUUCGACUCCCUGCAGCCCGACAA
rnacentral:tRNA from 1 species